rnacentral:RNase_P_RNA from 1 species
GCACACCGGUUCUAUUGGUAACAAUGAACGCUGGAAAACCCCACUGGGAGCAAGACUAAGUAGAGAUGACAUUGUUGAAAAACUAAAAGCCAUCCUUGGCUAGUCAUCAGGGUUAGUUGCUUGAGCUUAAGAGUGAUCUUAAGCCUAGACAAAUGAUAGGUUUAAAUGACAGAACCCGGCUUAUAGUUUAUCUGGCAAA